UACGGGGGGGGCAAGCGUUGUUCGGAAUUACUGGGCGUAAAGGGCGUGUAGGCGGCUUGGAAGGUCAGCUGUGAAAACUCGAGGCUCAACCUCGAGACGUCGGUUGAAACCACCUGGCUAGAGUCCGGAAGAGGAGAGUGGAAUUCCCGGUGUAGCGGUGAAAUGCGCAGAUAUCGGGAAGAACACCCGUGGCGAAGGCGGCUCUCUGGGACGGUACUGACGCUGAGACGCGAAAGCGUGGGGAGCGAACAGG
rnacentral:rRNA from 1 species